rnacentral:rRNA from 1 species
GAUGAACGCUAGCGGGAGGCUUAAUACAUGCAAGUCGAGGGAGAAAUUAAUCUUCGGAAUAAUGGAAACCGGCGCACGGGUGAGUAACGCGUACACUACCUACCUCAUACUGGGGGAUAGCCUUUGGAAACGAAGAGUAAUACCCCAUAGUCCCGUAAGGGUAAAGUUCCGACGGUAUGAGAUGGGUGUGCGUCUGAUUAGUUAGUUGGUGAGGUAACGGCUCACCAAGACCACGAUCAGUAGGGGGCGUGAGAGCGUGAUCCCCCACACGGGUACUGAGACACGGACCCGACUCCUACGGGAGGCAGCAGUAAGGAAUAUUGGACAAUGGACGAAAGUCUGAUCCAGCCAUCCCGCGUGAAGGAUGACGGCCCUAUGGGUUGUAAACUUCUUUUGUUUGGGAAGAAACGCCCCGAUUUAUCGGGGUCUGACGGUACCAUUCGAAUAAGCACCGGCUAACUCCG